GUCAGCGCGGGAUUAGGCGGCUGCUUUGCUAAAUCCUCCCGCCCGCGCUGAGAGCGGGCCAGCAGCAGGCCAGUGCUGCCACAAGGCGAAUCCCCGGGCCGGCCCUGCACGGGGGAGCAGCCCGCACACCUGGGCGAGCAACAGGUGCCGGGUGUCGGCCCAGGGUGGGAGGUGCAGCCCUGCCCGGAGCCGCAGCCUCUGCUGGGCUCUGCCGCUCGUUCUUUCCUGGCAGCAUCCUGGAGCCAGAGAGUCUAAAGGACUUGGCUCCCUCUGCCAGUGUCUCCGUGGGCCUGAGUCACUGCACAUCUCCAAACCUCUGCAAUCAGAAAACCUCUAUUCAGCGCUGCAGAGCCCUAAAUGUGCUUUUAUAGUUUAGCUUUUGCUGCUGGACUGCAAAGUUCACCGAGCUGCCCUGCCCUUGGCGCACUCACAGAUGCCCCAGCUGAGCGUAUCUCCCACCCGUGUUGGGUCAGGAACAGAGGGAAAGGCACUCCUCCUUGGAAGGAUCAGGGAUAGAUCACGGAGAGCACCCAGCACAGGCCCAGGACUGCACCUUGGGAAUAAUGCUGCCACUCAGAGAGAGUAAGAAGUGAGCACAUCCAGCCUCAAAGGACACACACAGUCCCAGAAGCUGCUCAGUGACCAAGGCUUCAAGGAAUGAGCUAUUCAAGAACCCCCCAGUCUAAUAUCAGAUAAAAUAGAAAACAAAAGACAUGCCUUCAUUUUUCAUCAAAAUCAAGUCCCCUGCAGGCCUUUUGUUUCCUCUAGCCAGCAAAGCAGAGCCCACUUCUUACUCCACAGCCAGCAGCAAUCGCUUCCCAGGAGAGGAGGAGGAGGACUCAGAAUUCAGAUCUUUCAUUGACAGGAGGCAGCUUCACAUCUUCCAGUUCUCACUUACACCACACAUUCCCCCUUGUGAAACUGAGGGAUACAAAUCCAGCAAUGCUGAUACCAAAAUGGGCUCAAUGCAGACCUUGGAUUUAGGGCUGGGUGAGACUGGAGCUGUUAGUGGAGCUGCAGAGGGAGGAUGGAGCUAUCCAAGAGGAUGACUCUGCACUUUACACAGGAGUUUCCAACAUGGCCACACACAUUCCUAGGUGCAGGAACCAGAACACAAGGUUGUCCCCCUUAAACACCCCAACUGCUGAACACCUUCCAUAGCCUCCACCUCUGGGAAGGGCCAUGUGGGAGCAGCCACACAACCUGGGUACAAAUGGAACACUCAGCUUCUCUCACAACUGAGAAACAAACUAACAAAAAAACUGGGUUUUCUCAGGCGUCAGCACAUCAAUGCCUACAAUGUUUCUUGGGGAUCUGUACAGCUCCUGGAAAACAGCAGCUUCAGGACCUGUAGGAAAACCCCACAAACAGAGCAAACUGCUGGGAUCCACAGGCUGCCCAAGCUCACCGUGCUUGAGUUUUUGCCCUGCAGUGACUGAUAACCAGCUUUAGAGCUGAUAAGCUUUAACAAACUAUUUCUCCCUGCCAUGUGCACAGCAGCAGAACAGUUCAAAGCUUGCAGACUUCAAUUUACUGAAAGUUCUUCAAGUCUACAGUUGACUCGCAUCAUUGCAUUGUUCAACUCCUGGGCAUUCUGCAAACCUUGUCUGGCUUUGAAGGCUUUUUUGCCUGAUUGAGUUUGGACAUAAGCCACCAAGCAGGAUUUGGGUGGGAUGUAGAUCUUCAGGAGGAGCUAAUUAUGGUGAAUGGAGAGCAUGAUCACACCCACUUCUCUGAAACCUGCACAGCAGCUACUAUCUUCUGUAAGCACAUAGUUACACUGAAAAGAAAUGGAUAAACUCCAGACAUUCAACAAGGCUGGCAGAGCUGCACUGUCAGUACUGCAGGAUACAGGGUAGUUUCUAAAAUCCAUGACAGAAAUUUCCACUAGUCUCCUGGAAUCUUUGCCACUUACGAACAUGCUAAAACAUUUGGAGGUGAAAGCACAGAAAGUUUGGCUGAAGACAUCUGAAAGGGGAAAGCAGUUCACUUCUUGGACACUGCUCUGACCCCCUCUGGAAAAAGAAGUCCAGAGGAAACUGAUGGCAGAAAGAAAUUGGAGGGGGCAAAAAAGGUACAAAAUUGUAGUGGAAGGUACAUUUUCAUCCAACUCUGUGGUGUCUAAGAAACUCCCCAAGCCCCUGCUAUGUUCCUUUGCUCUUCUGAUGUGCAGACCCAAGUACCCCUGCACUGCAUUGCCUGGGCACAAAUAACAUAUUUGCCUCAUGUACAUCUUGGAGCACUGCACAAUUAAUGUUAAGGGGCACUCACCCUUCUGACCCCACAGUGAAGAGAAACUGGACAAGGACAAAAGCUGCAGAGUGAUUCUAGCUGUGACCUGGCUUUUGUUUCCACCCUCACAGUGAAUCCCCUCACAAGGUCUGGGGCAGAGACUCUGCACAGGGGAGUCACUUCCAUGGUAACUCCAAGUGUUUGCACUGGGGGGGCUCUCCAGCUACUGCUGCACUCUGCUAAACAUCACAUGGCAUUUUUCCAUCAUGGAAAUAAAGCCUCAUUCUUACUCUUCACUGAUCAGACAUGCUUCUGUGGUAGGUGGCACCAGCAAGAGAUGAAAUAGCUGGAAGUUUUACCUUGUGGCUUGUAAUACAGCAGGGCUCACUUUGUGUAACUAUCACUGAGGGAGCAUAUUUCAAAUAAUUGUUGCACAAUCUCCACUGGAAUCUAAUUUGCAAUUGUAAUAAUUUCCUUUGACUCGUUCUUCUAAGAGCCAUCCUCAGCCAGGACUGCACCUUGGGAAUAAUGCUGCCACUCAGAGAGAGUAAGAAGUGAGCACAUCCAGCCUCAAAAGCCUGGACACACACAAAGCCCCAGGAGCUGCUCAGUGACCAAGGCUUCAGGGAAUGAGCUAUUCAAGAACCCCCCAGUCUAAUAUCAGAUAAAAUAGAAAACAAAAGACAUGCCUUCAUGUCUCAUCAAAAUGAUACUAAAUAUUGCCCAGUCCUUAGCACACGAGGCCUAAGCUUUUGAAGACUGUUUUAGGUGUGAUUUUUAGGAGGCCAGGAGUACAGACAAACCCACUGCGACCACUGAAAAGGGGGUUUCAAUACUGUAACAGCUGAACUGGAAACUGCAAGGCACACACACAUAAAUGUGAAGAAAUAAGAACUGCAAUAAGCAGCACAAAGAUAAAUAAGUGAGCAGACAAGCAGUGAAGCUGGGUCCAUCAUGCUGGGAAAGCAAAGAGCUCGUGUCCCACAGCCAGGCCACCAAGAGCAGUGCUAUGGGGGACCAGCCCCACCUUCAGCACCUUUGUCCUCUCUCCUGGUGAGCAGAUUUGGAAAACAAAGCUCCAAGUAGAACACUGCAUACCAUGCUGGAGCACGUUUCCAGGACUUCCUAUUCUUGGCUUGUCACAAAUAGGAAUGCGCUUGCUGCAAGUACAAGAACAACACAAUUCAACUCCUCUUAAAGGCAAGGAUACUCUAGUAUUGUAGGCACUAAUAAACCAGGCUCUGAAUAUCCAUAGACAGAAAAAGAGCUCUUACUGGGUCAUUUAUCAACACUCCACCUCCAACAAGGUGAAAAGGAUAUUAUCUAAAUAUUAACAAAGACAGAAGUGCUAGAACUGGGCCUGGAUUGGGCCCAGCUGACACACAGACAGCUCCUGCCCCAGCUGCCUGCUCAGGGCAGAGCCCAUGGACACAGCAGGCAGGCAGCUCCAGGGUUUGCUGGCUCUGUAUGUGCAAAUCACAGCAAAUGUGAACUCCUUUACAAGUUUCCCUAAGGUACUCCUAAAAGAGGAUACCUUCUGAGGCAGCUUUCCUCUCUCUUGUUGCACCACGGAAGGCACAGACGCAAAUGUGAAUUCCCCUGUUCCUCUGGGUGCCAUCACUGGCUGUCGGAAUGCUGGGCAUUAAACUGCAGAGGAAGAGAACACAUUCAGCACUUCCAGAAACAUUUAAUGUUGUAACAGCCAGAUUCACCUAGGUCCACAUGACUGGAUUUUUUCCCCCUUCAACUUCUCUUUGACAUAAAAAUCACCUAAUUAUUACUGCCCUUUCCAUUACACAGAGCUAUUGAAGAACUUGCCAGGGAAGAAGCUUCUGGUGAUUUUUAUUUUUUAAUUGGGUGAUAAAAAUACUUCUAUCUAUAACACUGGUGUGAUGAACCAUUCCAAACGCAUCUUCUAAAAAAGAAUCCAGGAUGAGUGGAUAUUCAGUGGAUGACAGCUCAGCAGCUGAAAAGACUGACAAUGAAAUUGUGAGAGAGGCAAGCAUUUGUACCUGCAAAUCAUUCCAAGGAAACCAAAUUUUCUUAACUCCCGGAAUUACACUUUUCCCAACAUACAAACUAAGCAACUCUCAACCCUGCUAUGCAUUGAGCUAAAUCUCAGUAACACUGCAGAUAACACCUCCCAAAAGGACAGCAUUCCUUUUGAGCCAGGGCCAGAAAACAUCAGAAUAAGUGUAGCUUUUUCAGCUGCAUAUGAUCAUGUACUUCUAAAAUGGAAAACAGUCUGUCAGAGUUUGCUUUGAAUUUUUACAGUGUGUAACACUGUGUUACUAGAGUGCAGUUACUCCCACUGCAUCUUUCUCUAGCUCUGCAUGGUUUAAGCCCACUCAGCUUUUACAGCCACUACUUCCCUGGGCAGAUUCCUCAGGCAGUGCUGCCAAAACUUUACAAGCUGUUCUUGUGCUUAAGUACCACGACUCACGAGAUAACUCUGAAUGGAAAGAAAAUGGCCCUGAUCAUCUCCUUAUGGAGUGCAUAGAUUAAGGCAUGACCCCACUGGGAGACUGCAAGAAAAGCAGCCAUUCACACUGGCCACCCCUGACUUAAUUAGAAGUCUGACUUAGUAAUUAAAAAUUAAAAAAAAAAAAAAAGAAAAGAGAAGGAGACAAUCUGCUUAGCAACCAGUCUUUUGCUUUCAGACAUUACUAAAUCUAGAAAAUCUUCCAAAUUCUCCUAAAGCAAGUUUUAUUUUCAAGAGUAGCAACAGCAACUGUUCACAUGUUUGAAGCAUCUGGGAAUUACCAGCAUGACCUGCAGCUCCAGUGCCAAGGGAAGGUGUUGGUGCUGACACAACACAUCCCACACCUCACCCUGGGAGCUGAGGGUGAGCUGGGCUGGAGCUGGGCAUGCUUUGGGGAUUUGGGGAUGGCAGGAGAAGGAUACAGACAGCAAUGGCCUGGGAAACAAGAGCAAGCAUGUUAGGAUAGAUGUGGCAGAACAAGGAACAAGCAGGGAGAAGCAAAUACAGGCUGGCACAGCCCAUGCAGUGGCCUAGGAAGGUGGAUAUUUUCAGUACAAAUUGGACACAGAACAAAGGAUGUUGUAAUAAAGAUGCUCUGAAAUAAACACGGGCUGAAUGGGGUUUGUAGUAAGGCAGAUGGAAAGAAGGGAAAUGCUUGGAGACCAGCAAGAUUAAGAGCCUGAAUGCAACAUCUGGAAAGGGGUUAGAACAGAAAAUGACCACACCACUCUUGUUACAGGGCAGAGGAACAGACAUGCUGGCAAUGACAUCCUUAGUGACUGAGAGAGGAGGUGUUUGGGCUCCUGAAAUUACUUGAAUGCUUUUUGGUUUUGUGCUAUCAUGGUUUUGAGCUAAAAAUUUGACAGCCAUGGAUAACAGAAUAAAAGGGAAUGGCCAUUUGGGCACUAUGUGGGCUGGAAGAGAGAAUAAGGGGAAAACAGUCAGAGAAUACCCCUAGAAAAGUCCAGGAAACAGGAGAGGAAACAGGCACAGGUAGAGUUGUGGGACUUGAAGCAGAUGAGGUCAGAGGAAGCUGCAUGAAGCCAGUGAAACAGAUAAAGUAGGAUGAAUCACAGGACAAGGUGAGUGACAAGGUGAAUAUGGGAGCAUGGAGUAGAGGAAGAUGCCUAUGUACAAAGCUGGAAAAACAUUAACAGACAAUCCCUGUAAGAGUUUCUACAAGAGGUGGCUGGAGAGGGGAGGGGGAACAGGGCCAAGCUUCAUUUUCUGGUUGUUUCUAGACCACUAGUGCCAUUCUUUCUGGCCUUACAGGGACUUACAAGAAAGCAAUGUAGUUUUGGGCUGUCUCAGAUAUUCUGCUGAGCCCACACUUUAUAAAAUUACAAGUACAGCAUUCCUUUACCUGCCACCUUUAAAAUAAUGCAUUUAGUUGCAGAGCAGUGUUCUGACCCUUUUUUUUUUUUACUGCUCAGCAUCCUCACCUCUUACAGAAUAUACCAGUCUUGUGGUGACAGAGAACAGGAAAACUGUUUCCAAGUGACAGGUCUCUAAAGUUCUUCCAGGCUGGUCUGUAGUAAUGUUAGUUUGGGAGUCCUCCUUCAUUGCCUUCUGAUGUAAGUAUAGGAGCUAUAGGAGGGCUGGAGAGAAGAAUAAGCUCCACAGAUGGGAACAAGUUCCAUGAGAAUGAGAAAAGCCAUAAGAGAAUAAAGACAUACAUAAGCUGUGUAUAAAAAUCAGGCUAGGCAUUCCUAUGUUAUACAUGACAAAAAAGCAGGGCAGAAAUUUUACUUGGUCAAGCAGCCUUCUGAGGUGAUAUUUCCCCUGGUACCUCUGUUUUAGCCAGAAGGCUGAAAAAAUGCAGCAGAACAAUACACCCUGAAUAUCAAACCUUGAUGGGCUGUUCUCCAAAAACUGCCCCAAAAAUUAUUAAGAAUCUGACACAGCUCAGAAGCAAACCUGGUGAGUGGUUGUUAAGAUAAUCAGAAAGGUGAGCAUGGGUUAUCAGGCCCCAGCAAUAAAUGAACAGGGUGCCCCUCUGCUUUAGUAGCAAAGCAUGCACUAGGGACAGAGGAAUGUGGGGAAAACAGGGCAUUCAAUCUGUAUUGGAUAGCUCACACACCCUGCCUUCAUUUCAUAAAACCUGUUGACACAGAGACUUGCCAGCAGCGAGUCAGUGGAACAGCCAGAAACAGGAUCUUCUCUAGAGAUCACAGAUAACAUCAGCUAGAAGGAGAACUGAAAAAAACAAUCCCCACAGCACCUUUCUAGGUCACUGUUCCCCGUAAUCCAACACUUGAAGGAAGAAGCUGAGCUCGAUGUCCCCUGAGGCCUGGGACAGCCUGACCAGGGGCACAGGAGGUGUGUGGGACAGCCCCACUGCUGGGGACAAAGGCUGCUCUGUUCCCUGCCCGUGGAGCCUUCCUGGUGGGAGCAACGGGGUCACUGCAGGAACAUUUCCUCCUUUUGCUGCAAGGGGAGAAUGAGUGAGCUGGCUCUCCCAGGGCACCCAGGAGGGCUGGCCCCAAGUGCCCCCGAGAGAGGGGCAGCCUUCCCACGAGCCUCAGGAGGAGCAGGGCUGGCAUUUGAGCAGCUUGGUUAUUGUUGUUGAUCUUUCUGCUUCAUCAAAGUGGGAACAUCAAACUGCAAGGAAUAUGUCAGUGCCUUCACUCUGUUAAAUCAUGGCCAAACUUUUUCCCAACUCAGCCUCUAACUUACCAAGUAUAGGACGAGGGGCCUUGGUCCCCCUGCUUGAUGGGGAAGAUCUCUUGAGGGAUUAACAGUGCUCUUUGAAGGGUCAAAAGAGUCGGGAGGGAUUUUAUUUUUCCACCACUGGGAUCAAUUGUCUUCAGAGAAUUAGGAAAAUUCUUUGCAGGGAAAAGCUCCUCCAAAUCAGGAUUUGGAGAAGAGAACAAAUCCAAGAAAUGUUCUGAUAUCAAAACCAUGCUGAGAGGAACCUGAGACAAGUAUGGUAUAAAAUGAGAGAUAUUCACUUCCCUGUCUCCAUGCAAACACUUAAGCCUGGAAUAACCUCUGCAAUAAACUCUACUCUACCCAGCAUUCCUACUCUCUCACAUUCCUUCUUUAUCCCCUGCUCUCAGUAAAUCUUUGUACUCCAAUAUCCACUUGCUUGUUGCUCUGUUAUCCAUCCCAGGUGUUUCUUGAACUGCUAAACUGGGGUAUGGACAUCCCCAAACCUAUUUUUAAAAUAAAGACACUGGCAGAGCAAAUUGUAACACCAAGAUUCUGCAAAACAGACUUGUCUUUGCACACUGUCAGGCUCCCGUUUCAAGCAGUGGUAACAGCAGUUUAUUGCUCUUCUGAACCAAAAUCUUUGUAGGGUUGCAAAUAUCACCAUGCUUCUAAUGCUCUUCCUCCCAUAAAACAGCACUGGAGAGUUAGGUACCAAGCCAAGAUCCCUGAAAGCCAAACAAGGAGCUCCUGAGGACAGGGUAAAUUCCUUCUUUGUAUCAGAGAGAGGGCAGGUUUGAAAGGCUUCCACUUUACACAGGGAUGGCGAAAUCACUCCCCUUCACCUGCACAUUUCCUUGGUUUCAUUGCACAGACCCUGAUUAGGUGCUGGUGAGAGCCCUCAGCAGGUAGAACCACGAGGACCUCGAGGGGUUAGAGCCUGCCUUGCCCCCUGGGAGGAUCUGAAGAUCUCAGUGGCACUGUGGUAAAUGACCCUCAGGAGCUGAAAGUGGCAGGCAGGAAGCCAAGACCUUCUGCAACACAGCCCUUAUCCCUACAGGACACAGUGCUACAGGUUAAAGGAGCCCUUUUAAUGGGAUGCCAAAGCAUUUAUCUUUAGGAUAGAGACCUCUUGUAAACACAUCGUAUUGUCUUUAAGUGGUGGGGAACAUCAGACAGAGCUCUGGGAGCACAUGGACACGCUGGAUAAAAUACAAACAGUCUUUGAGGUGAUUUGGCACAAGUUACUUCAGGAGUUAAAACAUUCUUGGAUCAUUUUUUUUUUACCAAAGGGAAUACUAUUUGUGGAGCCAAGCCCCUCCUCACACCCCAGUAACUGGGAACACAUUUAAUGCAGACAAAACCCAGACAUUUUAUGGAGUCCCCUCAUACACACAGGAGAUCAUUAACAAGCGUUAACAGAAGCUGUUAGUCUUUACAAUCUAAUAGCUGGCAGGGCUGAUGUAAGAGCUCCAAAUCCACCACACUGUCUCCAGUUAUCUCCUCUGAGUGACGUAUUUAUCUGUUUUACAGCCAGGAUGAAAGUUUGGGCAGUGCCUCCCACUCUUCAAACACGUCUGUGUGCAUGUGGGGCACACUUGUGCCCACAAAGAGGUGAAAGCCAGAGGCUGCCUCUCCUGUUCUGCUGCUCCAGCUCGGCUCCUGGAAGCAGGAGUUGGAUUCCCUGAAAGACUGAGCCCAUACCCACUCACAGAAUUCACAGAAUCACAGAGUGACCAGGUUGGAAGAGGCCUUCAAGAUAAUUGAGUCCAACCCAGCCUUAACACCUCAGCUAAACCCUGGCACCCAGUGCCAUAUCCAAUCUUUUUUCAAACACAUGGUAACUCCACCACUUCCCUGGGCAGACCGUCCAGAACUUUAUCACUCUUUCAGUGAAAAACUUUUUCCUAAUAGACAACCUAUAUUUCCCUUGGCACAGCUUGAGACUGUGUGCUCUGGUUCUGCUUGGUGAAAGAGGUCCAUUCCCUAAUGCACCUGCAGCACUGUCCCACCACAGAGAUUUGGUUUGGGAGUUAGAACUCUAACAGCCCCCCAUUAUUCGUACUCCAAAAACCAAGCUAAGUCUGGAGGUUUUUUAUUUGUUCCUAAUGUGUAUUAGAUUAAUUGGGGUGUUCAGAGAAAGCGUGGUCCAGAAAAAAAAGCCAAAUAUUUUACAGAAAUGUUCAACGUGGAGUCUAUGCAACAGACCCAUGGUAGGGGAGCCACCUGCCCUCACCUCCCAUGGCUGAGAACAAGCAUUUGGAUGGGUAAGGACUCACUGCAUGACUGCAGGUGUGAAAGCACAUCCCAUUUCUCCCCCCUUUCCAAAAAAUCCCAACAUUUACUCUCAUGACAGCCUUUCCUCAGUGCUGAGUGAGCUACACUGGCUUCCAUCACAUUCUCUGCAUCUUCAGCCUCUGAGGGAGCAUCCCUUGCUCAGGGGAUGCCCAAGUGCCAGUGCUGAGGAGGACGUGAGAAAAUGGCUGAGAGCAGGCCCAGCUGCCCGUGGUAGAAGGCAGAAAUAUGGCUCUGGAAACCCCUGGGAGCACUUAGCUACUGAUCCUGGUGUUUGAUGAGACAUAAUUGCCAUAGAGUAUUUGAAUGUACUGAUUUCCUUUAAAUCCAUUGCAAAAAGCUCUCUAAAACAACCUUCAAAGUCUUCAGACCAGAAACCUCUAAAAAGUAAAUCCACCAGGCAGUAAAAGAAGUUACAAUUCUGACUCCAUACUCUGAACACUGACAUUUAAGCCCUACACAAAAUUACACAAGCACUUGGGACCAAAAACCAGGAUCUAGUAAAGAUUCAUAUCCACAGGGGAACAUUAUUUCUUGUCCUUGACAGCACUGAGCUUUAUACUAUAUCCUGCAAAUAAAUCAUAUCUGCUGCUUCUGGAGCACAGCUGUCAGCCUUGGCUGCAGGAAUACGUGGGACACAAAAGCAGGAAUUAGGUCCUCCAGAAGGGGAAAAACCCCAAAAAAACAA